AGCCGGAUCUGGCUGUGGCGGGACCCGGGCCUGUCCGCUGCGACUCCGGGGUCUGGGACCCGAGUUCCCCUGGAGCAGCUCGGCCCUCGGUCCUCUCGGCCGCAGGGUGGGGCUGGGCCGGCAGCUGGGACUCCGGGAGUCCUGUCCUGUCCCUGCGCAGUGACUGUCGCCCCAGAGCCCUCUCUGGGCAGCUCCGCAUCUCCCCAGAUUGUGCGGGGGCCACGGGAGGAUCAUGGGGGGAUCCCGCCUCCGGCCUGGGGAUCCUGUGGGAGGAGCCAUGGCCUGUGGGCUCCCCAGUCCCGCCUUUCCCCCCGAAGGCGGCCCCCGCUUCUCCCUGAGUCUUCCAAAAGGUGUGCGAAGCCGGGUCUCCGCGACCCGGUCCCCCAGCCUCGCUCCCCCUUGGGCUGGCCGUAAAUCUUGUAAUGAACGUUUCCCUCCCCGCAUUCUCUAACGCCAGCGUCUCCACUGCAAUCCACAUGGUUCUCAACUGUUAGUCCCUUUGUUGUACGUUUCAAAUCGACGUGGCAUUUAAAUGAUCAUCGUUCCACAGAGCAGUGGCUGACUCUUUUAGGAAGAUUUCUUUUCUGUCACCUUUUCACAUAUAAGGAAAGGAAAGGAAAACCACAUGAAACGCCUCUGUUUACAAAAGCCUUUGUGCCGCUACUUUUAUCUUAGACACCUCAUCAGACUGCCUUUGGGUUGAGGUUCCUGUCACGCGUGUCCGUAUAGAAGACACCCAAUCAGGCUUUGUGUGAGCAACAAGGCUGUUAAUUCACUUGGGUGCAAGUGGGCUGAGUCCGAAAAGAGAGUCAGUGAAGGGAGAUAGGAGAGGGGCAGCUUUAUAGGGCUUGGGUAGGCGUGGAAAGUUACAGUUAAAGGUGGUUAUCCUCAGCAGAGGAGGGGGUCACAAGGUGCAUGGUGGAGAGAUGAUGGGACUCAUUGUCCAGGAGAAGAAUGUCACAGGGUUGAUUGAUCAGUUGGGGCAGGGCAGGAACAAGUCAUAAUGGUGGACAAGUCAUAAUGGUGGAAUGUCGUAAGGUGGGUUAAUUAGUUAAGGCAGGAACUGGCUGUUUCACUUCUUUGUGGUUUUUCGGCUGCUCCAGACUUCUUGGCUCCUGCAGGCCACCUGGACGGAUAUGUGCAGGUCACAGGGGUUACAAUGGCUAAGCUUCAGCUCACAGGCCUGACAUUUUUGUCUUUUUAUUUAUAAAAUAUGAAGUUGUAGGAAAAGAUUAAAAAAAAGUGUGUGAGUGGCGGUCUGAAUGGAGAAGUUCAAUAGUUCUGAUUGCAGAUCCUAUGCAGAAGAGAUAAUAAGGAAAAUAAUCUUUGUCUCCUGGAUUAAGCUGAGGCUGGCAAAGAGUGAAAUGUCCCAAGCCCUCUAACAACAAACAACAUACUUUGUGUUG
rnacentral:lncRNA from 1 species